AUUGAACGCUGGCGGCAGGCCUAACACAUGCAAGUCGAGCGAGAGGCGGACGGGUGAGUAAUGUAUGGGGACUGCCCGAUAGAGGGGGAUAACUACUGGAAACGGUAGCUAAUAGCGCAUACUAUCGGAUAACCCAUAUGGGAUUAGCUCUUAGGUGAGGUAAUGGCUCACCUAGGCGACGAUCCCUAGCUGGGCUGAGAGGAUGAUCAGCCACACUGGGACUGAGACACGGCCCAGACUCCAACGGAGGCAGCAGUGGGGAAUAUUGCACAAUGGGCGCAAGCCUGAUGCAGCCAUGCCGCGUGUAUGAAGAAGGCCCUAGGGUUGUAAAGUACUUUAAGUCGGGAGGCGUUACCGACAGAAGAAGCACCGGCUUACUCCGUGCCAGCAGCAGCGGUAAUUA
rnacentral:rRNA from 1 species